ACUACAAAAACUCUAAUGAAAACAACACAAAAGACAACAAUGUAACUAUGAAAUCUUUAAUUCUAUUUAGAAAAUUUUGUACUUUUUCGGUCAAGUAAUAAUCAUACAUUCUUAACAGACAAGGCAGUAUCUUUUCACAGGACCAUUUUUCAAACAGCCACAGUAGUGCUAAACAGUCAUCAAGUACAAAGAAAAUAUCACCAUAAAAUAUGUUUACUUCUUUUCCUCUUGUGUCAAACUCCCAACAUAUCAAUUUUGACAUAUAUCAGCAUAGUUCAGCUUUUUAACAUGUACUCAGGAAAAACCUUCAAGAAAGCAGCUAACAAUUUGAAGUGAGUCUGUUAUUCUUCACCCUACUUGCUGCAAUUUUUUAUACUGUUUCAAUAGGGGAUGCUCAAAUUUAACAUGGGCAAAAUAUAAUGAGGUUGGCAUAUGUGCAAAGUUUCGGUGUGAAAGUUGCCUCUAUAGUCUUUGCUCAUUUAUGUCAAGGUGAGAGUGGAUAUUCCUAAGAUAAUCAUCUCAGGGACUCAGCUUUGGCUCUGCUGUUUGCGAGGGUCCCUCAAUCAGAAUAAACCUGCUUAAUGGAAGAAAAGCUAAAACGGAUGUUUAACCGAG